rnacentral:misc_RNA from 1 species
GCCGCUGGGAUUUAUUUUAUCAUUAUCAUUUUUCUAAACAUUAUUUUGAUUUACCAAAUAUUAUGAUGUUCUUUAUGGGCUUAGUUUUCAUGUUGUUCUUUUUUUAUUGUAUACAUACUUAUAAUUAUUGGUCAAGGCGUGGUGUCAAGCAAAUUAGUUUAUUUUCGUUACUACGUAUGUUCAAGUUACAGUGUCUGAAUCAGGUUAGCGAGGUAGAGUUGUACGAGAACCUUUACGCUGCGAAUUCCAAUGAAAAGAUUGUCGGAUUUUAUGUUUUUACUUCACCAGUACUCAUGGUCAGAGAUCCUGAAAUAAUCAAAUAUGUCCUUAUAAGAGACUUUGAUACAUUCUACUCAAGAGGAAUUUUAGAACUAGACAAAGAGCCUGAACCAUUUCUCAAUCAAAUAUUUUUUAGCGUAGGUGACUUGUGGAAAUUAUUAAGGAAAAACAUUUCGCCUGCCUUUUCUACCGGAAAGAUCAAGGGAAUGUUUCAUCAAAUCUUGGAAAGAGCGGAAAAAUUGCAACAUAUUGCAUGUACAGCGGAUAAAGGUGAAAUCGAUGCUGUAGAUUUAGUGAAACGUUACUCUGUAGACGUCGUUGGAGCUUGCGGAUUAGGUAUCGAUUUGAAUACCUUAAAUGGCGAACAUGAAGUGGUAUUGAAACUGUGUAAACGAUUUUUUAAGCCCACAAAAAGAGAUAUACUUGUGUACUUAUUGAAACUAAACAUGCCGGCUAUAUUUAAGCAUGUCCACAUUAUUUCAUCUUUUCUUGAAGAUACUACUAAAGCUGUGGUGGAUAUUAUUAUGAAACAAAGAAAUAAUGAGCCCUCCGACAGGAAUGAUUUUGUAGAUUUACUUUUGAAGUUAAAAAAGAAGGGUACGAUGGUUGGAGACUCUUUGACACGCAAGAAUGUUGACGGUUCCCCUACUAAGACGGAGGUGGAGUUUACCGACGCACUACUGACUGCUCAAGUGUUUAUGUAUAUGGCCGCCGGGACUGAUACGACGACUUCUGCGACAAGCUACACACUGUACGAGCUCGGUCACCAUCCUGAAUACCAGAGAAAAUGCCACGAAGAAAUUGACUUCGUGCUAGCGCGUCAUGGGAACCAAUUAACUUAUGAAGCUAUUAAGGAAAUGAAGUACCUCGAAGCCUGCUUCCGGGAAGCAUUGCGCUUGUUCUCGCCAACUGGCAACUUUAUGCGCAAAUGUAUGAAGCAGUACACCAUCCCCGGCACUAAUGUCACGCUCGACCCCGGCGUGUUGGUAGUCGUCCCGGCGCAGGCGGUGCACAUGGAUCCUCAGUAUUUCCCCGACCCUGAGCGGUUCUGUCCUGACCGCUUCUACGGAGAACAUGCAACCUUCAAGGAUGCUUACAUGCCUUUUGGUAAAGGACCUAGAGCAUGCAUUGGUGAGCAUUUGGCUUACAUUCAGUCGCUGGUGGCUGUGGCAGCGGUGCUACGUCAAUCUUGUGUAUCGCCGGUUGGCGAGCGGCCUAGCCGUGUGCCACGGGAUCUCAACACCACCAUCAUACAGAAUAUUAAGGCUCCACUACGAAUCAAAGUUACGCUACGUACAAAUUCAAAUGAAAAUAUUAAUAAAUUAUAAUACUCAAUAUAAUGAAUGUAGAGGAAGCGGUCUCUACUCUAUGCUCGUCGUGCCCACCAUCAAAUUAUUCAAUAAAUAAGGUGAGCAUUUGGCUUACAUUCAGUCGCUGGUGGCUGUGGCAGCGGUGCUACGUCACUCUUGUGUAUCGCCAGUUGGCGAGCGGCC